rnacentral:rRNA from 1 species
GAACGCUAGCUACAGGCUUAACNCAUGCAAGUCGAGGGCAGCAUGAACUUAGCUUGCUAAGUUUGAUGGCGACCGGCGCACGGGUGAGUAACACGUAUCCAACCUUCCGUUUACUCAGGGAUAGCCUUUCGAAAGAAAGAUUUAAUACCUGAUAGUAUGGUGAGAUUGCAUGAUAACACCAUUAAAGAUUUAUCGGUGAUGGAUGGGGAUGCGUCUGAUUAGCUUGUUGGCGGGUAACGGCCCACCAAGGCGACGAUCAGUAGGGGUUCUGAGAGGAAGGUCCCCCACAUUGGAACUGAGACACGGUCCAAACUCCUACGGGAGGCAGCAGUGAGGAAUAUUGGUCAAUGGACGAGAGUCUGAACCAGCCAAGUAGCGUGCAGGAUGACGGCCCUAUGGGUUGUAAACUGCUUUUAUAAGGGAAUAAAGUGAGUCUCGUGAGACUUUUUGCAUGUACCUUAUGAAUAAGGACCGGCUAAUUCCGUG